rnacentral:rRNA from 1 species
UACGUAGGGUGCUAGCGUUGUUCGGAAUCAUUGGGCGUAAAGCGCGUGUAGGCUGUUAGUUAAGUCGGGUGUGAAAUCCCCGGGCUCAACCUGGGAACUGCAUUUGUGACUGCAAGGCUGGAGUGCGGCAGAGGGGGAUGGAAUUCCGCGUGUAGCAGUGAAAUGCGUAGAUAUGCGGAGGAACGCCGAUGGCGAAGGCAAUCCCCUGGGCCUGCACUGACGCUCAUGCACGAAAGCGUGGGGAGCAAACAGG